AAGAAAGUAACUAAGGGCGUAUGGCGGACGCCUAGGCUCUCAGAGGCGAUGAAGGACGUGACAAGCUGCGAUAAGCUACGAUUAGGUGCAAAUAACCUUUUAGUCGUAGAUUUCCGAAUGGGGCAACCCAACUGGUUGAAGACCAGUUACCACCUAGGUGGAGCUAACCCGGUGAACUGAAACAUCUAAGUAACCGGAGGAAUAGAAACAAUAGUGAUUCCCCUAGUAGCGGCGAGCGAACGGGGAGUAGCCCAAACCAUUAAUGUUUCGGCAUUAAUGGGGUUGUAGGACUACAAUUUGGACUUUAAAUGUAUAGUAGAAUCUUCUGGAAAGUUGAACAAUAUAGGGUGAUAGUCCCGUAAACGAAAUACAUUUAAUACCUAGUAGUAUCCUGAGUAGCACGAAACAUGUGAAAUUUUGUGUGAAUCCACCAGACCAUCUGGUAAGGCUAAAUACU
rnacentral:rRNA from 1 species